rnacentral:rRNA from 1 species
UACGUAGGGCGCAAGCGUUUAUCCGGAAUUAUUGGGCGUAAAGAGCUCGUAGGCGGUUUGUCGCGUCUGCCGUGAAAGUCCGGGGCUCAACUCCGGAUCUGCGGUGGGUACGGGCAGACUAGAGUGAUGUAGGGGAGACUGGAAUUCCUGGUGUAGCGGUGAAAUGCGCAGAUAUCAGGAGGAACACCGAUGGCGAAGGCAGGUCUCUGGCAUUAACUGACGUGAGGAGCGAAAGCAUGGGGAGCGAACAGG